rnacentral:rRNA from 1 species
UUUUAGAGUUUGAUUCCCUGCUCAGGACGAACGCUGGCGGCGUGCCUAAUACAUGCAAGUCGAACGCUUUUUCUUUCACCGGAGCUUGCUCCACCGAAAGAAAAGGAGUGGCGAACGGGUGAGUAACACGUGGGUAACCUGCCCAUCAGAAGGGGAUAACACUUGGAAACAGGUGCUAAUACCGUAUAACAAUCGAAACCGCAUGGUUUCGGUUUGAAAGGCGCUUUUGCGUCACUGAUGGAUGGACCCGCGGUGCAUUAGCUAGUUGGUGAGGUAACGGCUCACCAAGGCAACGAUGCAUAGCCGACCUGAGAGGGUGAUCGGCCACAUUGGGACUGAGACACGGCCCAAACUCCUACGGGAGGCAGCAGUAGGGAAUCUUCGGCAAUGGACGCAAGUCUGACCGAGCAACGCCGCGUGAGUGAAGAAGGUUUUCGGAUCGUAAAACUCUGUUGUUAGAGAAGAACAAGGAUGAGAGUAGAAUGUUCAUCCCUUGACGGUAUCUAACCAGAAAGCCACGGCUAACUACGUGCCAGCAGCCGCGGUAAUACGUAGGUGGCAAGCGUUGUCCGGAUUUAUUGGGCGUAAAGCGAGCGCAGGCGGUUUCUUAAGUCUGAUGUGAAAGCCCCCGGCUCAACCGGGGAGGGUCAUUGGAAACUGGGAAACUUGAGUGCAGAAGUAGAG